rnacentral:tRNA from 1 species
GCCGUGGUAGCUCAGUUGGGAGAGCGUUAGACUGAAGAUAGUUCUUCCGGUGAACCCGGAUUACACCUAUCAGCACCAUCUACAGGUCGCCCGUUCGAACCGGGCUCAUGGCA